rnacentral:rRNA from 1 species
GACGAACGCUGGCGGCGUGCCUAAUACAUGCAAGUAGAACGCACAGUUUAUGCCGUUGUUUGCUACACAAGAGACUGUGAGGUGCGAACGGCGGGGUAACGCUGAGGUUACCUGCGUGGUAGCGGGGGAUAACUAUUGGAAACAAUAGCUAAUACCGCAUACUACAGAUUAUUGCAUGAUAAUUGAUUGAAAGAUGCUAUUGAAUCACUACCAGUCGGACUUGCGUUGUAUUAGCGAGUAGGUGAGGUAACGGCUCACCUAGGCGACGAUACAUAGCCGACCUGAGAGGGUGGUCGGCCACACUGGGACUGAGACACGGCCCAGACUCCUACGGGAGGCAGCAGUAGGGAAUCUUCGGCAAUGGACGAAAGUCUGACCGAGCAACGCCGCGUGAGUGAAGAAGGUUUUCGGAUCGUAAAGCUCUGUUGUAAGGGAAGAACGGGUGUGAGAGUGGAAAGUUCACACAGUGACGGUAACUUACCAGAAAGGGACGGCUAACUACGUG